GUGUAGCUCAAUUGGUAGAGCAUGGCAUUAACAUUGCCGGGGGUUAGGAGUUCAAGUCCCACGUGGAUAGCGCCACACA